ensembl:lncRNA
AGUGAUUAAUUGAAGGCCUCUGUGCCCUCUUGUUUAUUUUAAAAGAACAAGGGGAAGCUUCAUUUGCAUGAGAUUUAAGGAAAAGGCUUCUGAGGUUCUUUGGUUAUUUGCAGACUUUCGUUCCAAGUGGAAACUGAUGUUUCUAUUGAUGCAGUGCCUCACUUGGUGUUGGACGUUUCUAUUGAUGCAGUGCCUCACUUGGUGUUGGACGGCAGGGGAAAGAAUUUGAAAUCAGCUCUAUGCCAUGAGGGACUGUAGUGCCAGGAGGCCCUAGCUGGCUGCAGGUCUUCACGCUGGUAUCAGCAUAAUGCCACACUGCCCAUCCCAGUCUCUGACCCAACAGAUGUUCCUUCCUGGUAGGAAUAUAUUAGUUGGUGAUUAGCCCUCAGCUAACUACUGCCAGUCCUCCUCUUUUUGCUGAGGAAGCCUUUAUAUGUGGGACGCCUACCACAGCAUGGCGUGCCCAGCGGUGCCAUGUCCUCACCCGGGAUCCGAACCAGCGAACCCCGGGCCGCCGAGAAGCAGAACGUGCGAACUUAACCACUGCACCACUGGGCGGCCCCAUAAAUCAAAUUUUCUUUUGUUGCUAAUACAACAAAGAUUUACUUUUAAUCAGUGACUCGAAGCAGGCGAGAGAGAAAUCUAGCAGGUAGUGAGACAAGACAAACGUACUUUUUGGAUAUCAGUCUAGAAUUUUUUCAAACAUAAUUUAGAAAAACUUACAGUCCAUCUCAGAUUUAUUCUUUCAAGGACAGAGGUUUCUACACUUGUUAGAAGUUUUGAAAUUAUAAGUAGCCAUCUCAAGAACCUUUAGCAAUAAUUAUCUCUUAAGAUCAAAAUUGAUCCUCAUUGUCUCAUUUUCUCCAAGCUUAGCUAAGUAUCUGUGGGUGUAUUUGUACAAUAGUGUAGCUGGUGAACAUACCAACAUUUUAAUAGUGGCUUUCUGCACACAUAAUGAACAAUGCAUAUGAAGGCAUGGGUGAAACAUAGUGAUUUUAGGGGUAUCAGCAGCACUUACCCAGCUGGGUCAUCAAAUUUUUUCAUGACAGAUAGGCCUUUUAAUAUCCUACAAACAGCAGUGAAGGAUGGUCACACAGACAGACUAUGCCUAGACUUUUUAGGCCCAUUUAUCCUGAUAUCCACUUUAUCCUUCACUAGGAUGUCAUUACGAAGAAAGGUUACACUUAAGACACUGGGAUUAUUAUGAAGGAUUGAAAGAAGACAAGACAUUCCAGUUCACACCAACUGCAUUUCAUGUGUCAUCACCACAAAUUUGGCAAGGCUUAUUAGGGCAUAUGUUGAAUUAAUUGUGCUGCCUCAUGCUGCUUAAUUAAAGUCUGAGGAAUUUUGAUUAGUUGCAUUGAAGGAAUAGCAUAACCAGGUAUACAAUUUCACUGUUCUUUUUCUUGUUUCUUAACCUUCUAAAGAUUUCAUCUUUAGUGAUAGUGUUUGUGGGCCAUCAGGUUAACCCAGAGGUAUCCCUAUUCAAUAGGAGAGAAGCUACUAAGCCCAAAGGAUUUUACUGUGAAUCUGUUCAUUAGACAAGACACAGUUCACAGAUCAGUUACAAAUGUGGAUUUCAGCCCAAAAUUCCUGCAGAGAUCAAAGCAAAGGCUUUUGUCUUUCCGCGUUUCACAUUACAUUUUGGGACUUGAAUCCUAAUACUUUAAAAGAUUUUGCUUAUCUGUUCUUUCUGUAACAUUUUAAAAGCCCUAUAGGUAAGAUGGACCUGAGUUCACUUGUUAAAUGCAAAUGUGGCAUAUGUCAUUUGUAUUUAAGUGACUUUAACAUCCUGGAAUAUUACCUAGAGGUUUGCCUUCUAAAUGGAUAUGAAGAAUAGUUUAAUGAAGUCAGUUACAAGUUAAACUAAUCUUUUUUUUUUGAGGCUGUAUAAAUGGGCUUAAUGCAUUAAACUCCAUGAAAACAUUGAUUUAAAAAAAGGAAAA